AUGAUCACUGGGCGAGAAGCCAGCGACGGUCACCACAGAGGCGAACCGCUCGAACCAGGCGCGAGGGGCCUAUUUAAGACCAUAGAGGGAGCGUCGAAGUCGGCAGACCAUACCAUCAGGAACAUAGUACCCCGGUGGUGGCUGCAUAUAAACCUCCUCACGCAACUCACCAUUGAGAAAGGCGUUCUGACCGUCAAGCUAACACAACAAGGAGAGUGCCACAUGAGCGAAUGUUUCAUCAUAAUCGCGGCCCUGCUCCUGCUGAAAGCCACGAGCCACAAGACGGGCUUUAUAACGCUCAGGAGAACCAUCGGAGCGAGUCUUAAUCUUAUAGACCCACUUGCACGUGAUGGGACGAACAUCGGAAGGAAGGGAAGCCAGAUCCCACGUGCCAGAGCGCUCAAGGGCAGCAAUCUCCUCGGCCAUCGCAAGCUGCCAUUCAGGCUGAGUCAUGGCAGUCCGAUAGGAAGUGGGCUCAGCAACAACAGAGAGACCGUACCGGUCAGGAGAAUAGCGAUCAGGUGGGAGGUGUCGGGGAUAUACCCCGCGGUGUAA
rnacentral:rRNA from 1 species